AACGAACGCUGGCGGCAUGCCUAACACAUGCAAGUCGAACGAGACCUUCGGGUCUAGUGGCGCACGGGUGCGUAACGCGUGGGAACCUGCCCUUAGGUUCGGAAUAACUCCCCGAAAGGGGUGCUAAUACCGGAUAAUGUCUUCGGACCAAAGAUUUAUCGCCUUUGGAUGGGCCCGCGUUGGAUUAGCUAGUUGGUAGGGUAAAAGCCUACCAAGGCGACGAUCCAUAGCUGGUCUGAGAGGAUGAUCAGCCACACUGGGACUGAGACACGGCCCAGACUCCUACGGGGGGCAGCAGUGGGGAAUAUUGGACAAUGGGCGAAAGCCUGAUCCAGCAAUGCCGCGUGAGUGAUGAAGGCCUUGGGGUUGUAAAGCUCUUUUACCCGGGAUGAUAAUGACAGUACCGGGAGAAUAAGCUCCGGCUAACUCCGUG
rnacentral:rRNA from 1 species